rnacentral:tRNA from 1 species
GCGCCUGUAGCUCAUCUGGAUAGAGCUUCGGACUUCGAAUCCGGAGGUAGCAGGUUCGAAUCCUGUCAGACGCA